rnacentral:rRNA from 1 species
UUGAAUACAAAACACCACCAUACGGUUGCGCGGUCAUCCUUGGCGUCUCGGUUUCGGCCGGGGCGCGGGGAUGGCGUACGCACAGUUGUUCUUCCCGA